rnacentral:rRNA from 1 species
CGCUGGCGGCGUGCUUAACACAUGCAAGUCGAACGGUGACGGAGGGAGCUUGCUCCUUCCUGAUCAGUGGCGAACGGGUGAGUAACACGUGAGCAACCUGCCCCUCACUCUGGGAUAACUCCGGGAAACCGGGGCUAAUACCGGAUACGACACGGACCCGCAUGGGUAUCGUGUGGAAAGUUUUUCGGUGGGGGAUGGGCUCGCGGCCUAUCAGCUUGUUGGUGAGGUAGUGGCUCACCAAGGCGACGACGGGUAGCCGGCCUGAGAGGGCGACCGGCCACACUGGGACUGAGACACGGCCCAGACUCCUACGGGAGGCAGCAGUGGGGAAUAUUGCACAAUGGGCGAAAGCCUGAUGCAGCGACGCCGCGUGAGGGAUGACGGCCUUCGGGUUGUAAACCUCUUUCAGCAGGGAAGAAGCGCAAGUGACGGUACCUGCAGAAGAAGCACCGGCUAACUACGUGCCAGCAGCCGCGGUAAUACGUAGGGUGCGAGCGUUGUCCGGAAUUAUUGGGCGUAAAGAGCUUGUAGGCGGUUUGUCGCGUCUGCUGUGAAAUUUCGGGGCUUAACCCCGAACUUGCAGUGGGUACGGGCAGACUAGAGUGUGGUAGGGGAGACUGGAAUUCCUGGUGUAGCGGUGAAAUGCGCAGAUAUCAGGAGGAACACCGAUGGCGAAGGCAGGUCUCUGGGCCAUAACUGACGCUGAGAAGCGAAAGCAUGGGGAGCGAACAGGAUUAGAUACCCUGGUAGUCCAUGCCGUAAACGUUGGGAACUAAGUGUGGGUCUCAUUCCACGAGAUCCGUGCCGCAGCUAACGCAUUAAGUUCCCCGCCUGGGGAGUACGGCCG